AUAUGGGGUCAAAGGUCACAUAUAUGGGCUCAGGUGACACAGAUUUGGGGUCAAAGGUCACAUUUGGGGGUCAAAGGUCACAAAUGGGGGUCAAAUGUCGCCAUUUUGGGGUCAAAGAGCGCCGAUAUGGGGUCAAAGGUCACCGAUAUGGGGUCAAAGGGUACGUAUAUGGGGUCAAAGGUCACAUAUAUGGGGUCAAAGGGCACCGAUAUGGGGUCAAAGGUCACAUAUAUGGGGUCAGAGGUGGACAUGUGGGGUCAAAGGUUACAUUUUUGGGGUCAAAGGUCACAUAUAUGGGCUCAGGGGACACAGAUUUGGGGUCAAAGGUCACAUUUGGGGGUCAAAGGUCACGAUUGGGGGUCAAAGGUCACCAUUUUGGGGUCAAAGAGCGCCGAUAUGGGGUCAAAGGUCACCGAUAUGGGGUCAAAGGGUACGUAUUUGGGGUCAAAGGGCACCGAUAUGGGGUCAAAGGUCACAUAUAUGGGGUCAGAGGUGGACAUGUGGGGUCAAAGGUCGCAUAUUUGGGGUCAAAGGGCACACAUAUGGGGUCAAAGGUCACAUUUGGGGGUCAAAGGGCACCGAUAUGGGGUCAAAGGUCACAUAUAUGGGCUCAGAGGACACAGAUUUGGGGUCAAGGGUCGCCAUUUUGGGGUCACAGGUCGCACUUCGGGGUCAAAGGGCACCGAUAUGGGGUCAAAGGUCACAUUUGGGGUCAAAGGUCACACAUAUGGGCUCAGGUGACACAGAUUUGGGGUCAAAGGUCACAUUUGGGGGUCAAAGGUCACGAUUGGGGGUCAAAUGUCGCCAUUUUGGGGUCAAAGAGCAUCGAUAUGGGGUCAAAGGUCACCGAUAUGGGGUCAAAGGGCACGUAUAUGGGGUCAAAGGUCACAUUUUGGGGUCAAAGGGUACCGAUAUGGGGUCAAAGGUCACAUAUAUGGGGCCAGAGGUGGACAUGUGGGGUCAAAGGUCGCAUAUUUGGGGUCAAAGGGCACCGAUAUGGGGUCAAAGGUCACAUUUGGGGGUCAAAGGUCGCGAAUGGGGGUCAAAGGUCACAUAUAUGGGCUCAGGGGACACAGAUUUGGGGUCAAAGGUCACAUUUUGGGGUCAAAGGUCGCAUUUGGGGGUCAAAGGUCGCCAAGAUGGCCUCACGAGACACAGAUUUGGGGUCAAAGGUCAUAUUUUGGGGUCAAAGGUCACACUUUGGGGUCAAAGGUCACAUAUAUGGGGUCAGAGGUGGACAUGUGGGGUCAAAGGUCGCAUAUUUGGGGUCAAAGGUCACACAUAUGAGCUCAGGGGACACAUUUGAGGUCAAAGGUCGCCAUUUUGGGGUCAAAGGGUACAUAUUUGGGGUCAAAGGUCACAUAUUUGGGGUCAAAGGUCACGUUUGGGGUCAAAGGUCAACAUAUAGGGUCAAAGGUCUCCCCAUAGAAUCUAUGGGGUGAGGGAUCUAUGGGGCAGCCCCAUAGAAUCUAUGGGGUGUGGGGAUAUGUGGGGCAGCCCCAUAGAAU
ensembl:lncRNA